AUUGAACGCUGGCGGCAGGCUUAACACAUGCAAGUCGAGCGGAGAGAGGUAGCUUGCUACUGAUCUUAGCGGCGGACGGGUGAGUAAUGCUUAGGAACCUGCCUAUUAGUGGGGGACAACAUUUCGAAAGGAAUGCUAAUACCGCAUACGUCCUACGGGAGAAAGCAGGGGAUCUUCGGACCUUGCGCUAAUAGAUGAGCCUAAGUCGGAUUAGCUAGUUGGUGGGGUAAAGGCCUACCAAGGCGACGAUCUGUAGCGGGUCUGAGAGGAUGAUCGGCCACACUGGGACUGAGACACGGCCCAGACUCCUACGGGAGGCAGCAGUGGGGAAUAUUGGACAAUGGGCGGAAGUCUGAUCCAGCCAUGCCGCGUGUGUGAAGAAGGCCUUAUGGUUGUAAAGCACUUUAAGCGAGGAGGAGGCUACUUUAGUUAAUACCUAGAGAUAGUGGACGUUACUCGCAGAAUAAGCACCGGCUAGCUCUGUGCCAGCCGCCGCCGUAA
rnacentral:rRNA from 1 species